rnacentral:lncRNA from 1 species
CAGCCCACCUCGCUUCCCCCAGUAAUGAGUAGCAGGUGCCUCUCUAUGGAUCUAUGCCAUCAUUGCUGACCUCAAGUCGUUUCAAAGGAAACACAUGCUUACCAGUUGUUACGUUCUAAUUGAGCCAGCAGAGGAACUUUUCCUUCUCUCUGAGUAAAUGUAGAAGGGCUGGUGUCUUAGGAGCACUCUUGACAUAAGUGACUACAUCUGAAUUUGGAACAAGCAUAAACUCUGCAAGUCUCUAAGACUGUAAAAACCAAAGUGGACACAUUUGGUA